GUCACGUCCCAGAGCACAGCAUUCCUGGCUACACUCCCUGCUUGGACCUGGGAGGGCCAUGCCAGCACAAACACCUUCUGCCUUACACCAUAGUGACACAGGGACAGCUGAAUCUCUUCCCCAAUACCUGAGGCCCUCUCACUUAUUGAGAUACUGUGGUCUUCAAGAGACAGGAAGUUUUUCUCCAACAUCUUUCUUAUUUUACAAAAAGGGAAAAAAGAAAUAAUCUGAAAACCUUACAGAAGAAGGACUGACUUGCAAUUUUUAAGUCUCAUGGAAUAUACACGAACUGCAGCUGAGGCUGGAGGCCUCUUGCAUCCUUACCCCUGCUGAGGAAGGAGAGGACUACCCCAUGUCACUGGGUUCAAGAGGAAACCUCUGGGCUGCAAUGCCUUAUUGUAGAUUUGCUUCAAUAUUACAAUAUUAUUACCACCAAUUGAUUAUGAACCAUCUUUCCUUCUGAAGCAUUAAAAUGAAACUGUUCUUUGUCCA